GUAUUACCGGGAGUUCCCUUCAAGCACUUUACGGAGCAUCUCUCUAAGGUAUUAUGUGAAGUGCUUGGGGGAAUUCUCGGUGUGAC
rfam:Triticum aestivum genome assembly, contig: Triticum_aestivum_CS42_TGACv1_scaffold_094802_2AL